rnacentral:rRNA from 1 species
GAUGAACGCUAGCGGCAGGCUUAAUACAUGCAAAUCGAGGGGCAGCAGGUUCCGUAGCAAUACGGAAUGCUGGCGACCGGCAAACGGGUGCGGAACACGUACACAACCUUCCUUUAAGUGGGGAAUAGCCCGGGGAAACCCGGAUUAAUACCCCGUAACAUUAUGAUGUGGCAUCACAUUAUAAUUAAAGCUACGGCGCU